rnacentral:misc_RNA from 1 species
GGUGCCUAAUGUUACUGAUGUUGGACUUAAACCAAGGAAGAUAAAAAUAGUUGCUGUUAUUGGUGGUGGAUUAAUGGGUUCUGGAAUAGCUACUGCUCUAAUUCUAAAUAAUAUCUCCGUCGUACUAAAAGAAAUCAAUUCUGAUUAUCUACAGAAAGGCAUGAAAUCUAUAACAGCAAAUCUUGAAGGCUUAGUGAAAAAAGGAUCACUGACACAGGAAAAGAUGGAUGUGGCCUUGUCCCUUCUUAAAG